AACUUGAAUGUACACAGCAAAUUUCUGGAGUUGAAUAAUAUGGAGUUAGAUAAAAAAAAGUGUUGUUAGAUUUUUGAGUUUAUUUUCUAAAUUAGACUACAGGUUUUGUAAAGGGAUACUCUUUGAUGGUGUUAUAUUUCGGCAUUCAUUCAUUGGGUGUUGAGGAACGUGAUUCAACUACUCCUGGUGUUGAUUCAUAACAUUAACGUUACAGCUUUGUUGCUGCCGCGCCGAACAUUCUUCACUUGGACUUCGUUGUGAGGCAGAUUACUGUUAAGCGGUAGACUGUACGGCUAAGGACGAUAACGUUUACGGACCUACACUGAAGGAAUGACUUGACCUUGCUACCCUGAAGGAAUAGAACAGUGGCCAAGCUGUUGAUAAAGGUAAAAUGCAGAGGGAAAAAGAAAUAUGUUAAAAUGGAAGAAGUCAGCUUCUCAGACUUUACCAGUGCAGUGCAGCAGAAGUUUCUCAUAGCAGAAAGUACACUGCUAAAAGUCACAGAUGAGCAAGGCAUAGAGGUGGAUGAGGAUGUCUUUCCAGAACUUGCAACAGCCAAAGAAGUGUGUUUUGUCAUCUACACUGAUAAUGAGAUCCCACUAUCAGAAUCUUUCACAAACACGACUGUGCCGACCUGACAGAAUUUGUGACAUUUACACCUUGCAAUGUUACUGUCCUGCGGCAAGAAAGUGAAGGGCCUUACUCUCCAAGUUUAA